AACCCGACUACAUGAAGCUGGAAUCGCUAGUAAUCGCGGAUCAGAAUGCCGCGGUGAAUACGUUCCCGGGUCUUGUACACACCGCCCGUCACACCAUGGGAGCCGGGAAUGCCCGAAGUCGGUGACCUAACCGAAAGGAAGGAGCCGCCGAAGGCAGGUCUGGUAACUGGGGUGAAGUCGUAACAAGGUACC
rnacentral:rRNA from 1 species